rnacentral:rRNA from 1 species
AAUCUUACCAGGUCCAGACAUAUGGAGGAUUGACAGACAGUUAACCAAAACGCAGCAGCUAGUUUAACAAAACUAACAGCUCUUUCAAGAUUAUGUGGUAGGUGGUGCAUGGCCGUUCUUAGUUCGUGAAGUGAUUCGUUCGCCCAAUCGCAUUUCCAAACAACUAACAACUCAGAAUGCUGGGCAAUAGGACGUUUAAAGUGGCUCCUUACACCUUACAAAGGAAUGGCUGAUGAGAAACAACUCGAUCCGCUCAGCGUUCUAUUGGAAUGCAACGGACGUGAUUGCAAGCUUUUGUUUUGAGUUGCGGUUUUACUGAAAGACUCUACAAUCCGCAAACUUCAAUGAUCUGAAGUAGAAAACCUACAUGCUACAGUGAGAUAUUGUGGAUAAACUUAAGCGACCGCUCCAACAUUGUGUUUUUUUAAAACUGAUGAAGGUUGCGGCAAUAACAG